CGCGUAGGAAUCUACCUUUCGGCGGGGGAUAGCCCGGAGAAAUCCGGAUUAAUACCGCAUAAGCCCUACGGGGGAAAGCGGGGGACCACUUGUGGCCUCGCACCGAUAGAUGAGCCUGCGUUAGAUUAGCUAGUUGGUAGGGUAAUGGCCUACCAAGGCAACGAUCUAUAGCUGGUCUGAGAGGAUGAUCAGCCACACUGGGACUGAGACACGGCCCAGACUCCUACGGGAGGCAGCAGUGGGGAAUAUUGCACAAUGGGCGAAAGCCUGAUGCAGCCAUGCCGCGUGUGUGAAGAAGGC
rnacentral:rRNA from 1 species